UACAUAGGGGGCAAGCGUUAUCCGGAAUUAUUGGGUGUAAAGGGUGCGUAGACGGAGAAGCAAGUUGGUUGUGAAAUCCCUCGGCUCAACCGAGGAACUGCAACCAAAACUAUUUCCCUUGAGUGUCGGAGAGGAAAGUGGAAUUCCUAGUGUAGCGGUGAAAUGCGUAGAUAUUAGGAGGAACACCAGUGGCGAAGGCGACUUUCUGGACGAUAACUGACGUUGAGGCACGAAAGUGUGGGGAGCAAACAGG
rnacentral:rRNA from 1 species